rnacentral:rRNA from 1 species
GACGAACGCUGGCGGCGUGCUUAACACAUGCAAGUCGAACGGAAAGGCCCUGCUUUUGUGGGGUGCUCGAGUGGCGAACGGGUGAGUAACACGUGAGUAACCUGCCCUUGACUUUGGGAUAACUUCAGGAAACUGGGGCUAAUACCGGAUAGGAGCUCCUGCUGCAUGGUGGGGGUUGGAAAGUUUCGGCGGUUGGGGAUGGACUCGCGGCUUAUCAGCUUGUUGGUGGGGUAGUGGCUUACCAAGGCUUUGACGGGUAGCCGGCCUGAGAGGGUGACCGGCCACAUUGGGACUGGGAUACGGCCCAGACGCCUACGGGAGGCAGCAGUGGGGAAUAUUGCACAAUGGGCGGAAGCCUGAUGCAGCAACGCCGCGUGCGGGAUGACGGCCUUCGGGUUGGAAACCGCUUUCGCCUGUGACGAAGCGUGAGUGACGGUAAUGGGUAAAGAAGCACCGGCAAACUACGU